UACGGGGGGGGCAAGCGUUGUUCGGAAUUACUGGGCGUAAAGGGCUCGUAGGUGGCCAACUAAGUCAGACGUGAAAUUCCUCGGCUUAACCGGGGAACUGCGUCUGAUACUGGAUGGCUGGAGUAUGGGAGAGGAAUGCGGAAUUCCAGGUGUAGCGGUGAAAUGCGUAGAUAUCUGGAGGAACACCGGUGGCGAAGGCGGCAUUCUGGACCAUUACUGACGCUGAGGAGCGAAAGCCAGGGGAGCAAACGGG
rnacentral:rRNA from 1 species